GCUCUCAGAACCUUUAAAGGAUGAGCUUGCCAGACAACCCCUACCUGACACUUUAGAUCAACUGAUUGACCUAAGCAUCACACUAGACAGACGUUUAAGAGAAAGACGUUCUGAAAGACAACACACAGACUCCCCUUUAAAGCUAUCUCAAGCUACUACACUACCCAUACAAGACAAAACAUCAACUAAGUCUACUACUGUCCCCAUGGAGCUCGGGUUUAUCAGAGGCCCAUUAACCCAACAAGAAAAAUUGAGACGAAAAGCUAAUGAUCUCUGCAUGUAUUGUGGGGGGUUGGAUCAUUCCGUCAGAGAUUGUACCCAACUUCUACGUAAGAAUGUGGGAACACCACCGAAUAGAAUCUCAAGCAAUCCUUGACUCUGGGGCUAGUCACAACUAUAUUGACCAACACUUUGUGCAAAAAAAUAAAAUACCACUUGUCAAAAAGUUAAA